CAUAUAAAGCACUUCAUUCUGAAUGCUGCAGUGAUCUAUCUAAGGCAAAGGAAAUUGUUCUGUCAGGAAACUUGUCUUAAAAUGCAUACAGAUAUGAUAAAGUCCUAUUUUUCAUGCUAGAUAUUGCUGAAAAUUUGGCCAUGUAUCCGGAGAACCAUAAAAAAAAUCCCCCACAUUGUAAGUUUUCAGAAUCCCUUGAGAAUCACAUUACCUUUGUUAAAAAUUAAAAGGAAAAAAAUAAAAGCCACUACUUCUUGUACAUUCAGGAACUGAUAGUCGUUAUCUUUGAAGGGAAGAAAAUGAAAACAGGCCAAGUCAUACAUCUACAUUCCAGACUGUUUACUCUCUUAUCAAAUUAAAUGAAACGAGAGCCCUGGCUGGCUCACUGACAGUUCCUAGCCAACCAUCAUUUUUUCAUUCUGAAUUUCACCAAGGUCUUAGAAUUCUUAAGAUAAGCUUCAGAGAAUCAACUGUAAACCCGGGAGAGAAAAAAGAAAACAACUUUGGUAUUUUUAAGAUACCUAUCCUUCCUCGCAAGACAGGGUUUUCGACAAUGUUGGAGGAGAGGAAAGGUGUGGGGACCAAGGCAUCAUGACAAGAUGACAGUUGACAAACUACAAAUCCUUCUCCAUUAAGUCUCCAUGUAAUAAAACAGAGCAGGACAUAGGAACUUGGAAAUCUCAGUGGGUGAUCUCAGGAUUCAGCUUCACAACUUCUGACAUCCAUUCUAUCCAGUUACAUCUAUAAAAGAUUCAUCCUCAUACUGCCCUCUGAAAGACCCAUCAAGCAGCUGAAAGAGUCAGAUGCAGAUAUUUGCACCCAACCAAUGAACAGAAGCUGCUGACCUCUCUGGUUGAAUUAGGGGAAAGCUGGAGGAAGCUGACGAGGAGCUGACAAGCAACCUUUUAGGAGGACCAGCAGUCUCAAUUAACCUGGACUCGCGAGAUCUCUCAGACACCAUAUCACCAA
rnacentral:sRNA from 1 species